CAGAACCAGUGGGUCUCGAUCCCACAAUAGAUAGUUAACAGCUAUCUGCCCAAUCCAGCGGACAUUAGUUCG
rnacentral:tRNA from 1 species